UACGAAGGGGGCUAGCGUUGCUCGGAAUUACUGGGCGUAAAGCGCACGUAGGCGGCUUGUUAAGUCAGGGGUGAAAUCCUGGAGCUCAACUCCAGAACUGCCUUUGAUACUGGCGAGCUUGAGUUCGGGAGAGGUGAGUGGAACUGCGAGUGUAGAGGUGAAAUUCGUAGAUAUUCGCAAGAACACCAGUGGCGAAGGCGGCUCACUGGCCCGAUACUGACGCUGAGGCACGAAAGCGUGGGGAGCAAACAGGG
rnacentral:rRNA from 1 species